rnacentral:lncRNA from 10 species
GGAAUUUGGACACAAACGGACAUACAAGAAUGCCAUGUGACCCUGAAGGCAGAUAUCAGAUGAUGUUUCUACAAGCCAACAAAAUGCCAAAGAUUACCAGCAAACGACCAGAAGCUACGAUCAAGGAAUGGAACAGAUUCUCUCUCAGAGUCCUCAGAAGGAAGAACCCUGCUGAUACCUUGAUCUCAGACUUCCAGCCUCCAAAACUGGGAGAUGAUGCAUUUCUUUCGCUGCAUGAAGAAAGACAGAGGAAUUGAUGUGUGUUCAAGACUUGAGAGCCAUGGAGAGGAGCUGGUAUCACCACUGCCUGCAGCUCAGGCCCAUCACUGCAUCCUUCACUCCACCAUUCCUCACCUGGAUUCACCUCACCCCUGACGUUAGAACCUGAACACGCCUCCGAAACUGGUGAGACAGAGGAGAGAAACUAAGCAUACAGUACCUGUCCUGUCUUGUCAAAGGGAAGCCUGACCUUCGGUAAGCAUAGUCAUAGGCAAGGGGAACCCAGCCUGCUCAGAAAGUGCUGCAUGAGUUCAUUCUGCAAACUUCAGGGCACUUCUUAGCAUGCUCCUUUUUGAAGAAUUACAUUUGUGC